UACAGAGGAGGCCAAGCGUUGUCCGGAUUGACUGGGCGUAAAGCGCACGCAGGCGGAUGCGCGCGUGGGGUGUGAAAUCUGGACCGGCCUUAACCGGCCAGGCGCCAUCCCAAUACGGCGCGUCUGGAGUGGAUGCAGAGGUCGGUGGAAUUGCCGGUGUAGUGGUGAAAUGACGUAGAGAUCGGCAUGGAACAGACCCAGGG
rnacentral:rRNA from 1 species